rnacentral:rRNA from 2 species
UACGGAGGGUCCGAGCGUUAAUCGGAAUUACUGGGCGUAAAGCGUGCGCAGGCGGUUUGUUAAGCGAGAUGUGAAAGCCCCGGGCUCAACCUGGGAAUUGCAUUUCGAACUGGCGAACUAGAGUCUUGUAGAGGGGGGUAGAAUUCCAGGUGUAGCGGUGAAAUGCGUAGAGAUCUGGAGGAAUACCGGUGGCGAAGGCGGCCCCCUGGACAAAGACUGACGCUCAGGCACGAAAGCGUGGGGAGCAAACAGG